ensembl:lncRNA novel transcript
ACAUUUCUAUUUCAAGGCUAUUAACAGUGGAGCAGCUGUACACUACCAGAGAAUUUUUAGAAAUCAUAAUGAAAUUAAACAGCAGAUACAAAAAGAAAAAAAAAAGAUGCCUUCUUUAGAGCUGUGCUGGUUGAUGGUGUGGGAUCUCACUCUGUCAUCCAGGCUGGAGUGCAGUGGCGGAUCAUAACUCACUGCAGCCUCCAACUCCUGGACUCAAGCGAUCCUCCCGCCUCAGCCUCUCAAGGACCCUUGUGAUUACAUUGGACCCACCUAAUAAUCCAGGAAAAUCUCUUUAUUUAGAGUUUUCCUGAUUUAAGCCUUAUAGUUGUUUCUGUGAAGUUUUACAACUUUCUUCUGCAACCAACCCUUCUAAGGAAGUUGAGGAUUUCUUCUCUCUGUUUUUCCCUCAUCAUCUUCUAAUGAUAAUAUAGAGAUCAAAACUCAAGUGGUAAAAAGGAGCAAGAAUCCCGCUCCUCCUGGAUACACCAGUUUUGGAUGUCAAACCGAAUGCUCCAUUAUCUCUACAGAUCGCGCUGACUCUUCACACUGUGGAACAUUUCAACCUCCUCU